UCUGCUCAUGACCGCACUACCAACACACUAACAGUUUGGAUAUUUGAUCAGAGGGGCCUCUGGCCUGAUAGCACUAACCAUCAUGUGGGCAUAGUAUGGGCGUUCUGCGUCGUAUGCAUCACCCGAAGCUUAAUAGACGUCAUGCGAUUGAGCGGCGCGUGCUGGGUUGGACUGGUAAGCACCUGCCUUUUUAAGGAGGUAGCUAGGUCUGCUCACCGGCCGCCCACGCAACAUGCAGGAGUUUCCGGGGCGAUGGCCCAAGACCCCUGGGGGCAUAGGUUUAGUCUGGCGUGCUGACCUCUCUAUUAAGCCUAGGUCGGGUUGCGGCGUAUCAUUUGGCCGAGGCCGGACAUGACCCAGAAAGUGUGUCCGGCUGAAGUUAAUCAAGCGUGGUGGGUAAGUUGGUGCACCCCUGCAGGGAAGAAAACAUCUAUCGAUAGCCUGUCCUACGGUAACGGACACUUGGAGUUGUAUCCCAAUCGAUACAACUAGAACUGGAUACUGGAUGCUGAGGCAUGUAAUGGAUAUGAUGGUUCUGGGAUUGUCUCCUCGCAGAGAGUCAAGGAAGUGAUCUCUCGGCAAUGUUACAAAGUACUUACUAAUAUUAUAAUAUGCCACUCUUAUCUCUUCUGAUGCUGCAAGAUGCUUGGAGCUGCUUGAAGAGGCUAAUCUUCGAUAGGUUAGGCUUCCCCUUCUCUUCUGGCAUUCUGCAGUUUAGUCCACAGAUACAGUCCAUUCCUUUGAUACAGAUGCAUACUUAGUUUAGAUCUGAUGUAAGUCUUGCGAGUACUUUGGAUGAGUACUCACGGUUGGUUUGUCACCUCUUUUCCCCCAUACCUGAAUGUUGCGACCAGAUGACUGUUCCCAGGAGCCAGACGACACCACUGAUGACUACUACUACCCCGAGGGUGCCUACUACUACGUGACGUCCGCUGAUGACCUCGAGUAGUUAGGAGGCUCCCAGGCAGGAGGCCUUGCCUCUUCGAUCGUUGUUGCUUUUGUGCUAGCCUUCUUAAGGCAACAUGUUUAACUCAUGUCUGUACUCAUAUAUUAUUGCUUCCGCUGACUCUUGUGCAUUCGAGCUGAUGUAUUCGAGCCCUCGAGGCCCUUGGCUUGUAAUAUAAAGUUUGUAUUAUUUUAUUUUGUGUCUAGAGUUGUG
rnacentral:lncRNA from 1 species